GACGAACGCUGGCGGCGUGCUUAACACAUGCAAGUCGAACGAUGAACCCGGAGCUUGCUCCGGCGGAUUAGUGGCGAACGGGUGAGUAACACGUGAGUAACCUGCCCUUGACUCUGGGAUAACUGCGGGAAACUGUAGCUAAUACCGGAUACGACCCUCGGCGGCAUCGCCAGGGGGUGGAAAGAAUUUCGGUCAAGGAUGGACUCGCGGCCUAUCAGCUAGUUGGUGAGGUAACGGCUCACCAAGGCGACGACGGGUAGCCGGCCUGAGAGGGUGACCGGCCACACUGGGACUGAGACACGGCCCAGACUCCUACGGGAGGCAGCAGUGGGGAAUAUUGCACAAUGGGCGCAAGCCUGAUGCAGCAACGCCGCGUGAGGGAUGACGGCCUUCGGGUUGUAAACCUCUUUUGCCAAAUUUUUAAGGUUUGGCGAAUAAGCAUCUACUAACUACGUGCCAGCAGCCGCAGUAA
rnacentral:rRNA from 1 species